UUGAACAGGGUGUUUAAGAGAUGUGUGUAAUUUUGCUAUAACUACAAUAACAUUAUAUUAGCGCAGGUAAAGGGGAAAAGCAUUUAACAAAGGAUAUAUGGUUUGGGGGCAGGACCGUUUGCUUAGCUUGAAAGAGAGUGGAAUAAACAUGCUGGACAUCCCUGGAGACCAAACAGCUUUGAAAAUCCAUUUCAUAUGUUAGGCACAGGGCAUACUCAAACCUGAGAGUACUAAUAUGGAGCGUAUUGAAGCUUUUGAAAUUAAUUAUUUUGCAGUCUUCAAGGGUCUUUACAAAAUACUCAAUAAAACUUUAGUAUCCCUCUUUUCACAUGUUAAUCAUUUCCCUGAAACUCAUGCAUUUGCAAAUGUGUUUACCUGAACAAUGGCAUAGAUUCAAAUUUUACAUGGAGUUUUCCCAUAAGAAGAAAAUUGCUGCUGUUUAUGUUCAAAACAACAAUGUCUAUAAAUGCGCAAAUAAUAAACUAUAUUGUGUCCUUCAAAUAAGCACUAUUAUUAUUAUACUUAUUAUUAUGCUUAGAGAUACCUUGUCUGGGAUUUUAAAACAUUGACAGGUUUUACUUUUUUUUUUUUUUUUUUUUAAUUUACAGACCAAAGUCCUGAAGAAAACAUUUGGUUUUUAAAAGAAAAUGGCUUUUUUGUUCAGCUGAGGAAAACAUAUAACAACUUAAACUUCAGGAAAAUCUUCUCAUUGUCUGACUUUGUGCGUACUACCCCAGACCUCAAAAGUCUGUUUGCUUGGCUUCCCCUGAUUUCUAAGAGCCUGAAAAACAAGCCAGUCUGUCAAGUUUCCUUCUGAGGGAUCUGAGCCUCAUCACAGUCAUUGAAGGGGAAGUGGGCAGUGGAAAAUUAGCCUUGCUCAGGAGAAUUGCAAUUCUGUGGGCAUCUGGGAGCUGCCCUGUGCUGCAGAGGUUCAAGCUGGUCUUUUACCGCCCUCUCAACUCAUUGAGCAAUGAUCAGAGUCUGGCUGGAGCAAUUUCAGAAGAGCUGUGCAGCAUAGGCACACACCUGACUGAGGAGUCUAUCAAUGAUAUCAUCUACCACCUGAAAGACCAGGUCUUAUUCCUGCUGGAUGAUUACGGCGCUGCAGGUUCAGCUCCGAAAUGCAUUCAAGAUCUGAUUGUGAAGCACCACAUGAAUAAAGUUAGCGUGGUCAUUGGAGUCCAAAUGAACAGAACAGCAGCAGUGCGUCAGUAUGCAUCUUCAGUUCUCAUGAUCGCAGCAUUCCCAGUGUACUGCACUGUAUUUAUCUUGAAGAAUCUCGUCUCCCACAACAUUAGUCUUGUGGAAGGUUUUUUUGUUCAGCUGGGCAUGUCACAGUCGUUGUAAGGCAUUUUAAAAACACAACUUUUCACUAUUGCCAUUUGUGCUCUGUGGGUCCAGUACCGCCAAAAGAAUACGCACAACAAUGACAUUUGUGAAGCUUACCUGCACUAUAUUAAGCUGAAGCAUCUCCGUCAAUCAGAAAAGAUGAGAUGCAUGAUAUCAUUCAGUGGAGACCUUGCCUUGGACGGACUGUUUGACCAGUGCUUUGAGUUCAAUGAUAAAGACCUCGAAGAGGCAGGGAUUGACGCUGAAGAGGCUAUCCAUCUGGGUUUAUUGAGCAAGUUCACAGCCCAAAUGCUCAAGCCUGCGUACAAAUUCUUUCAUGCAUCUUUCCAGGAGUACCUGGCUGGCAAGCGCCUGAGUGAGCUCCUUGAAUCUGACUCCCAGGAACAUGCAGCGAAAGGCUGCCAUUAUCUGAAGAAAAUUGACACGUUCCUGAAGAUCAUGGUUCAUUAUAAAUUCUUUUUUGCUCUAUGCAUGCAGUUCCUCUGCAUUAGCCACUCAGAAAAUCGUCAUUCACUUGUUUUGUGUUGCUGAAAGCAAAGGGUUUUAUGAUUCCAGUUCAGAGAAUGGCAAGCAUGUGCCCAAUCAUGUGGAACUUUCUGUUCUUGAGGAGUUACUAAGCGUUGUCCUUCCUAUGGGAACUAAUUUUGACAUUUUAAAGGAUCAUUUUCUAGAGUUUGCAGUUGGAGUUGCUUAUUCUGGUAAUUCGGUCUCUGCCUGCGUUCCUCGUAUCCUGGAAUUCCUCACUGGUAAAAGUUUAAACCUUACAGUUUCAAGUGCGUUCAAUCAGUUUGUUAGAGAAUACCCUGAGUCGCUGGAAUUAUUGAGUGACAUAAACAUAGUAAUAUCUGGACACAAAAAAGAGCAAUUUCCAGACCUUGUGAAAAUGGGUAAGAUGUUAGAACCACAUGGCAAGCCAGUUGUUGAAGAAUAGUUUGCCUCGUCAUACCAACUUAUAAGUAGUGUUGCUGAGAAAACACGUACUUUGAGAAAUUCAGAGGGAUGAAACACAGACAACUUCCAGACUCCAUAGGUCAAACUUUCUUAACAGCAGAAGAUAAGUAUAAAAUGCCAUUGCUCACACUUAAUGUGCUUCAUGUGGAUGGAAUAGAUGAAAGGGACUGCAAGAAUCUGAUGGUGCUCUUUUCAGUUUUGGAACAAGUGGAGUUAACCUUGAGUAACAGUGAAGGAUUUCUUGAAAUUAUUCAGCCUGCUCUUGAGAUACACAAAGGGAUUUUCUGAAAAAUCAAAGUUCAUUGCACCCAUUUAAGUACACAGGAGGAAGAACUGAUUGUAUUGAUGUCUGCCCUUCAAUCGUUGCAUUUGACAUUCAGCCAAGUGCCAGAGUAUUUGAUGCAAAAUUUGGAUACAUUUUGUCAUCUUAAAGAGCUAUUAAUUGAUGGUCCAAGUGACAGCAAAGUGUUUGACAUGAUACCUAAUGGCUUCGGAAGUCUUCACCAUAUGGAAAAACUCAUUCUUUAGAAUGUGACCCUCAUAGAGGAUUCCAGCAGACUUGCCCAGUUUGUUCAGCAGUUUUCCAGUCUCCAGGUUUUCCACCUCAGUUGCAGUAUCUGCCCAGGGUUGGCUGAUAUCAUUACUUCACUUGCAAACUGCAAGAAGUUUGAACAGAUCUUCUUUAGAGGUUCUACUCACAGUGAUCUUGGCGAUUUACCUUUUGGUAAGAGGGUUGAGCAACCAGUUUAUGUACUGUAGAGGAUGCUCCAUGAGCAGCCAUAGAGAACUGGAGUUGUUCUAGAAAUGAGGAU